rnacentral:rRNA from 1 species
CAAUAGCGUAUAUUAAAGUUGUUGCAGUUAAAAAGCUCGUAGUUGGGUUUCUGGUAGGAGCGAUCGGUCUGGCGCUUAGCGCGAGUACUUGCAUCGUCUCCGGCCAUCCUUGGGGAGAGUCUGUCUGGCAUUAGGUUGUCGGGCAGAGGAUCCUCAUCGUUUACUGUGAAAAAAUUAGAGUGUUCAAAGCAGGCUUAUGCCGUUGAAUAUAUUAGCAUGGAAUAGUAAGAUAGGACUUUGGUACUAUUUUGUUGGUUUGCGCACCAAAGUAAUGAUUAAUAGGGACAGUUGGGGGUAUUCGUAUUCCGUUGUCAGAGGUGAAAUUCUUGGAUUUACGGAAGACGAACUACUGCGAAAGCAUUUACCAAGGAUGUUUNCAUUAA